UUAUGCCUGGAGACCUUCACUUGGUUCUGUGCCAGCACUGCCCAUGAACUUCAUAGACUGUGAUCUUUGCUAAGGCCUAAAUGAAUGAAGUGUACACUUCUUUGGUUCACUGGAACUGAACAACAGCUGAAUGUUUAACCUUGAUUGCAGGUGCAGGACCGGAAGCAGAAGACAGAAAGUGGAGACCAGAUGUUUGAAGCUGGGUAAAGGCAGGGAUGGAGCAGGAACCGAGGAACAAACCUUGGAACUAGCCACUUGAUUGCCGAGCCCCAUAGAAGACAUAAUUUACAAGAAACUCAUAGAGACUCAAAAUGUAAGGUUCUCUGAAAGAAAUUGAGGUGUAGUUCUUAGGUUAAGGGAAAUGAUUAACUUGAUUUAUCUAUGAAGGUUUUUUCUCAGUGUGGAGGAAAAUAGAUAAUGUGCAUUGCCAAGUGAUUUGCAAGACAUUGAUUGACUUAGUAAACAUUUAUUGAAUAUCUACUUUAUUUAAAGCAUUGUGUUGGGCACGCUUGGGGGUAAAAUUAGAUACAGUUCUUAAACAGAAGGAAGAAAAGAAAUCCAUGUUUUUGGAAAGGCUGUGACUCAUUUAAGCUCCAUAACAUCGAGGAAGAUGAGAAUUACAAUAUUAUUAUAUGUCAUUUUUGGUAUUAAUGGGAUUGAACUUAUUAAAUAAUACAUAGUGAGUGAUAACGGUUCAAAUCCAGGUUGGAUUAGCUCAAACAUGUACUUUCUUCUCAGUACUCCAUAUUGCUUUUCUUAUUUAAAUGUCUUCAUAAUUUCUUUAAGAUAUUUUCAUAAAUUGGGAUUUAAAAUGUAUUCUGGU
rnacentral:lncRNA from 1 species